GUGGGGAAUUUUGGACAAUGGGCGCAAGCCUGAUCCAGCAAUGCCGCGUGCAGGAAGAAGGCCUUCGGGUUGUAAACUGCUUUUGUACGGAACGAAACGGUCCUGGUUAAUACCUGGGGCUAAUGACGGUACCGUAAGAAUAAGCACCGGCUAACUACGUGCCAGCAGCCGCGGUAAUACGUAGGGUGCGAGCGUUAAUCGGAAUUACUGGGCGUAAAGCGUGCGCAGGCGGUGCUGUAAGACAGGCGUGAAAUCCCCGGGCUCAACCUGGGAAUUGCGCUUGUGACUGCAAGGCUAGAGUGCGGCAGAGGGGGAUGGAAUUCCGCGUGUAGCAGUGAAAUGCGUAGAUAUGCGGAGGAACACCGAUGGCGAAGGCAAUCCCCUGGGCCUGCACUGACGCUCAUGCACGAAUGCGUGGGGAGCAAACAGGAUUAGAAACCCUAGUAGUCC
rnacentral:rRNA from 1 species